rnacentral:rRNA from 1 species
AGUGAACGCUGGCGGUAGGCCUAACACAUGCAAGUCGAACGGCAGCACAGUAAGAGCUUGCUCUUACGGGUGGCGAGUGGCGGACGGGUGAGGAAUACAUCGGAAUCUACUUUUUCGUGGGGGAUAACGUAGGGAAACUUACGCUAAUACCGCAUACGACCUACGGGUGAAAGCAGGGGAUCUUCGGACCUUGCGCGAUUGAAUGAGCCGAUGUCGGAUUAGCUAGUUGGCGGGGUAAAGGCCCACCAAGGCGACGAUCCGUAGCUGGUCUGAGAGGAUGAUCAGCCGCACUGUAACUGAGAGACGGGCCAGACACCUACGGGAGCCAGCAGUGGGGGAUAUUGGACAAUGACCUCAAGCCUGAUCCAGCCAUACCGCAUGAGUAAAGAAGGCCUUCUGGUUUUAAACUCCUUUUGUAGCAAAAGAAAAACAGCAGGUUAAUACCCCGCUGUUCGGACGGGACCCAAAGAAUAAGCACCGGCUAGCUUCGUC